rnacentral:lncRNA from 1 species
AAAUAGUUGAUUACAAAUUGCUCUUUAGUGAAGACCCUGCAGAGCCUCUGCUUAGCAGCUGAUGCUACGUACUUAAAUAUAUUAAAAUGACUUUUACAGUAAAGAAAGUAAUUAUUUAGCAUAUUACAUGACACUUUAUGAAUAGUUUCACCAAGCUCUUCAGUAACAGAGAUCGCUUCCUAUACAUGCAGCGUGUUUCAGUCAUGUGUGAAGCAGCUUUGGCUUUUUUGGAUUAAUUAGGGAAAGAUGUGAUUACAAUAGUCAUAGUUGUAGCUGCAUUUAUGCGUGUACAUAAAUGCAUUUACUCAGACCCCACCAUCACUCCGCAGUGGGAAACCUCUGUGAUGCAUAUGCCCAGGAUGCUCUCAGAUCAGAGAGAAAACUCGUUCACUCAGCUCAGAAGAGUUCAAGAAGGCUUUCAGGGGAAAUUAUGCUUUGACAAGUAAAUCAAAUGUUUACUAAAAAUAGAAACUUCAAAAAUUAUUAUUCAUGAUGUUUUCAUAAUUCUCUAGUUUGAAGACACAAUACUGGAUUGGUGGCACAAUGUUCAUUUGGAUGUGAGGCACUGGUCUGGUUGAAAAGUCAGUUGUAUUGACAUGCCAUGUUGCCCAGGCAGGUAGGUCGAGUCUAUGGGAGAAGGUAAGUGGUGGCCGUGGGAAGAUUCUAGUCUGCUCAACUCAUGGGCCAACUCCCCAACCCAUAUGACAUGUUUUACUGGCAUUUCUUUCGAAAUUUAUUACAGUUACUGCAUAACUCAAAUUUUUAUUUUUCCUUUUGUAAGCCAUUGUUGGUUCUUAUGGUGGCAUAUUGGUUUCAUAUACUUUAUAAGUCCCAGGGUUAUUUAAGAAUCACUGUCCUUGAUUGUAGGUAUUGGUAAAAGCACAAUUAUGUAUUCUAAUUAGUUACUCUUGAUAGUUACUCCUACUAAUGAGAGCUUCUCAUUUAUCUCAGAAUUUCCAAAGUCAGAGUCCUGAUUUUUAGUGUCUACCAUCCCAGUGUUUACAUGUUUUAAAUAUAGGAUAACUUGGUGAUCUUGGACUAUUUUCUGUGGCAAUUUAUUUCAGCUCUGUAAGAAAUGAAUUUUUGAUCAUUGAUAAGAACUAAAAUCUAGUCAAACAGUUCUGCUAGUAAUCAGUUCGACUUAAAAACAAACUGACAAAAAGAAUAGGCAAAUUCUGGUCUAAUCUCUCUGAGCACCAUACCGUGGUAUGUGCUCUCUUCUUCUUUUAACUUAAAAGAUAUAGCCCCAAGCAGUUGGGAAUGCUAUCUAGUUUUGUUGCUUUGCAGGACACCUAGGUACAGUGUCCCGUGUGGUGUGUGUGAUAUUUUGCUGGGGAUGCACCUUUACCAGUGGAGGUAAAGUGAAGGGUCCCCCCUCCUGGGUGUCCUGCUUACAGCUUCACACGCAAGUCUGGGGUUUUACAUUCGGGAACAUAUGUUGAGUCAUAGAACAAGCCCCUCCACUAAAUUUUUCUCACUGCCACUGACCUCUGAGCCCCGCAGGAAAUCCCUUUGUAAGCAAAUUCCCAUCCUCAGCCCUUUGGCUGUUUAGUCUGUGCAGGGCUAGGCCUGGCUUACUUGCUCCUUUGAUUGGCAAGCCCCAUACUAGAAACAACAAAUGGACAGAGGGCCUCCCGAUCUGAAGACUCUUUCAGCUUUAUUUGGACUGGAACUUGAUGAGAGGUUCACUAGGCAGGAAACAUGCCCCUCCUCCCAAAAAUGCCACUGACAGGGACAGAGUUUCUCACAGACUUGGCGGCGAGCUGCAGGGACCUGAGCUACUCCACGGCUUGGGAAUUUUAACUCUUGUCAAAGAAGGAAAUAGCCUAAAACAAUUUGUUUUCACUGAAGAUGCAGCUAAUUGUUUGAUUAAAAACUAUGGUUCUAAUGGGAUGUGAAAUCAGUGAGUCAGAUGAGCAGAAACUACUUAUAGAAACCUGUAUGAAGGGAAUGAAAAAUUGUUUUAACAGUGCCC